UUGAACCUUCUCUCUCUCUCUCUCUCUCUCUCUCUUGCAGGGGGGUCUUCAACAUGAGCAAGGAUUUCCUCUCUUCCUUUGUUUUAUUCAACACUUUGUAUACCAUACCGUCAUGUGCCUAUGGUGAAGAAAAAUUCAACAAAUUGAAAGCGAAAAUUAUCUGGAAAAAAAAAAAAAACAAAAAACAAAGAAUUGAAGGAAUUCAAACAGGUUCCGUAGAACUUGGAGAUUGAUCUUUGGAAUGAAUCAAAGAAGAUUGACUGAUCUUUGGAAUGAAUCAAAGAAGAUUGAUGAGUAGAAUAAAAUGUCUAGGAUAAAGCAAACCCAUAUGAUGAAAAUAUGAUAUUCUUGAUUUUUUUUAUUAUUUUUUUUUUAAUUUUUUUU